AUGGAAUAAUGGUAGUGGGAAUAGGAUGCAGCUACAUCUAUAAUGGCACACUGUUUAAAUGCUGUCUUUCUACGCCUUACUUCUUAUUUGGAAAUUUCAAAGGCCUGAUUCACCAAGCUUUUCAUCAAAAAGCUCUUCCACUAAAUAUGGCUAAUUUAGGUUUGUUCUAUGGUCAAUAAUAAAUUCUCAAAGAACACCUGAAAGAAAAGGGGUUGCAUCACUUGCACAAGCUGCAUGCGUGAAAAUACCUAAAGAGCAGAAGGACAAAGAUGCAUAUUCAGGAACCUUUUUCUUUCUGACCAGCCGCA
rnacentral:misc_RNA from 1 species